AACAAACAAAAUUAAGCUAAAAAAUAAAAAAUUAAAAAAAUAAGGAAAGUGCAGAUGGAUAUCACUGAUGGAAUUGAAGGGACAAAGCUUGGAUGAUCAUUUCAAACAAGCUCAAAUGUUGCCACCCACCUUCGAUAUAGAGGCCGGCCUACCAAGAUGAACUUUGUGUACUCAUAGAUCGAAAUAGCGAUCGAGUUUGGGGUUCAUCUUCUCGGGCAAUCAGGGGCCUUUGGUUUGAACCUGCAUAUGAAGCUCCACCUGUGAGAUCUGUUCAUCUGGAGGUUUGAGAGAUGUAUUUGCCUCUUCUAUAGCCAAUAAGUGCUACCAUUGAUUAGAAAUCCCACAAAGAUUGCAUCGUUAAAGUUGUGUCUUCUUGGUGACCCCGAUCAAAAUUUGAAAAUGAUGGUUAUAGCUGACUCGCAAUCGACUUGCUGAUACCAGGUCCUUUGAAGACUUCUUCAACUCGGAUCGAUCAGACCUAUACCACAAACUGAAGUUAAGUGAGCAAAGCUUUCUCCUAUUUCAUCUUUGUGCACUGUUAUACUUCGAUUUAAUUCAUCCAUGAACUUCUCUACAGGUUGAGCCCCAAAGAGGCUGAUACCACUGCAUAAGGAGGCCACAUAUGGAUUCUAUCUCCGCAUAAACAGUAUAUUGUAAUUACAUCCACUUAUGCAAGUAUGCAGGUACUGUCAUCACCUUUUGAUAUUUCUUUGUCAUUCAUGUCGGGUUUUUCUUGUUUGUCUCAAUUAUGUUUGUGUAAUGAAAAACAUGUUUUGGAUGUUUCUAAUUUUAAGAUUGGAAAUUUGUGUUUUAUCUAGGUGUAAUAUUGCUUUU